rnacentral:rRNA from 1 species
GACGAACGCUGGCGGCGUGCUUAACACAUGCAAGUCGAACGGAAAGGCCCUGCUUUUGUGGGGUGCUCGAGUGGCGAACGGGUGCGUAACACGUGAGUAACCUGCCCUUGACUUUGGGAUAACUUCAGGAAACUGGGGCUAAUACCGGAUAGGAGCUCCUGCUGCAUGGUCGGGGUUGGAAAGUUUCGGCGGUUGGGGAUGGACUCGCGGCUUAUCCGCCUGUUGGUGGUGUCGUGGCUUACCAAGGCUUUGACGGGUAGCCGGCCUGAGAGGGUGACCGGCCACAUUGGGACAGAGAUACUGCCCAGACUCCUACGGGAGGCAGCAGUGGGGAAUAUUGCACAAUGGGCGGAAGCCUGAUGCAGCAACGCCGCGUGCGGGAUGACGGCCUUCGGGUUGUAAACCGCUUUCGCCUGUGACGAAGCGUGAGUGACGGUAAUGGGUAAAGAAGGACCGGCUAACUACGUG